UACGGAGGAUGCAAGCGUUAUCCGGAAUUAUUGGGCGUAAAGCGUCCGCAGGUGGUACAUCAAGUCUGCUGUCAAAGACCGGAGCUCAACUCCGGGCAGGCAGUGGAAACUGGUGAACUAGAGUACGGUAGGGGUAGAGGGAAUUCCCAGUGUAGCGGUGAAAUGCGUAGAGAUUGGGAAGAACACCAGUGGCGAAGGAGCUCUACGGGGCCGUAAAUGACACUCAGGGACGAAAGCUAGGGGAGCGAAAGGG
rnacentral:rRNA from 1 species